AAUAAGUUAACGUGAAAACAUAAAUUUUUUAAUUUAGCGAUUUGGGAAUGUUGAAAACCUUCCCCGGUGUGACUUGAAUGGGCUGAAUGAUGUGAAUUUCAAACUGGGACAAUGUAAAUGUGAAACGUGGAAUGUGCCAUUAGGAAUGAAUGGAAGAAAAAUUGCCAUAAAUUUGCAAAUUUUGUGGAAAUGAAAAGCUUAUGGAAUCAAAUGAAUGCAAGCAUCUCUUGCGUGAAUUUUUGGAAUAUGUCAAAAUUGGAAUGAGUGGGUUGUUUUAUCAAGAACCUUGAGAUGGGACAAAUUCAAAUGAGGAAUGUGAAUUGAAAAUAAUGUAUGACUGUGUGAACAGCUUGAAGAGAGCUUGAGGAGAGUGAGACCAGUGUAUAAUGGAGGCUGUGUGUGUGUGUGUGUGUGUGUGUGUGUGUGUGAAAUGCAAAUGAGCAU